rnacentral:rRNA from 1 species
UACGUAGGUGGCAAGCGUUGUCCGGAUUUACUGGGCGUAAAGAGCGCGCAGGCGGUCGUUCAAGUCGCGUGUGAAAGCCCCCGGCUCAACUGGGGAGGGUCACUCGAUACUGAUCGACUUGAAGGCGGGAGAGGGAAGCGGAAUUCCCGGUGUAGUGGUGAAAUGCGUAGAUAUCGGGAGGAACACCAGUGGCGAAGGCGACUACCUGGCCUGUUCUUGACGCUGAGGCGCGAAAGCUAGGGGAGCAAACGGG